rnacentral:rRNA from 1 species
GAAACACGGACCAAGGAGUCUAGCACUGCUGCGAGUCGAAGGGUUUUAAAACCUAUGGGCGCAGUGAAAGCAAAUAUUGGGAAAUCGGAUACAGAUUNAGGAGGUGUUGAGUCAUUGACGAAAUAUCCUACCUAGAGCAGUAGUGCUGGGACCCGAAAGAUGGUGAACUAUGCCGGAAUAGGGCAAAGCCAGAGGAAACUCUGGUGGAGGCUCGUAGCGAUGCUGACGUGCAAAUCGCUCGUCUAAUUUGGGUAUAGGGGNGAAAGACUAAUCGAACCAUCUAGUAGCUGNUUCCCUCCGAAGUUUCUCUCAGGAUAGCGGGCCGACUUUGGGUUGUUUUGUGUGGUAAAGCGAAUGAUUAGCGUAUUUGGGGGUGAAAUACCUUCGGUCGAUUCUCAAACUUUAAAUACGCAAGAAAGAGGCGGUUGCUUAAGUGAACCUCUCUUCUGAAAACGUCGGCCCUGUGGGCCACUUUUGGUAAGCAGAACUGGCGAUAUGGGAUGAACCAUAAGCACGGUUAAGGCGUCAAAUGNNNNNNNNNNNNNNNNNNNNNNNNNNNNNNNNNNNNNNNNNNNNNNNNNNNNNNNGCAAUGAAGUCGGAAUCCGCUAAGGAGUGUGUAACAACUCACCUGCCGAAUGAACUAGCCCUGAAAAUGGAUGACGCUUAAGCGGACAGCCGACACCAUGCCGUUUUGGUAAGAAGCGACCAAAAUGAGUAGGAGGGCGUGGCGGUCUUGUUGGGAAGGUCGAGACGCGAGUCUGACUUGAACGGCCGCUAGUGCAGAUCUUGGUGGUAGUAGCAAAUAUUCAAGCGAGAUCCUUGAAGGGCGAAGCGGGGAAGGGUUCCACGCGAACAUUGAUUGGGCGUGGGUGAGUCGUUCCUAAGCCGGGUGGUAAUCGUUCUUCGAUCGGCGAAAGGGAAGCGGGUUAAAAUUCCUGCACACGGAUGUGAAAGCGGUGACGCAAAUUGAGGUGGAGACGUCAGCGGUGGCGCUAGGCAGAGUUUUCUUUUCUGUUUGACCUCUGAGUGCAUGCUGUGGAAUCCGUUUGUCGGGAGAAACAGAUGCCGAUGGGCAGAGCGUCGGGGUGUCCCCGGCGUCUAGCACGCCACCGAUGGCCCUUGAAAAUCCAUCUGCAAACAAAAUUUCACGCCGUGGCGUACCGAUAACCGCAUCAGGUCCCCAAGGUGAACAGCCUCUGCUCAAUAUGAACAAUGCAGGUAAGGGAAGUCGGCAAAAUGGACCCGUAACUUUGGGAAAAGGGUUGGCUCUAGUGGAGUGGGGGAUUUUUAAAUGGGGUUCAGUGUCUCUCGACUUGCUGGCUGAGGAAGGCUAAACUGAGGCAACUCGGUUUUCGGCUAGCUUUGGCCGGUGGGUUUGGGGGUAUUGGGCACCGCCUCCAGCAUACUCCAGACUAGAACUGCAACGGGCAAAGGGAAUCCGACUGUUUAAUAAAACGUCAAAGUGAAGAGAUUCAAACAAGCGCGGGUAAACAGCGGGAGUAACUAUGACUCUCUUAAGGUAGCCAAAUGCCUCGUCAUCUAAUUAGUGACGCGCAUGAAUGGAUUAACGAGAUUCCUACUGUCCCUAUCUGCUUCUAGCGAAACCACAGCCGAGGGAACGGGCUCGGCAAAACCGGCGGGGAAAGAAGACCCUGUUGAGCUUGACUCUAUUCUAACUUUGUGACGCAAGUUAGGAGGUGUAGCAUAGGUGGGAGACUUCGGUCGCCAAUGAAAUACCACUACUCUUAAUCUUGUUUUACUUAUGGCGUAAGACUGCACGACCUUUAUGGUCUAUUUUGGCAUCAACCUGGGUUCUGGCACAUACUGCGCAAGCGGCAGUGUCACCGGGGAGCAGCGCGCCCGACACAUUUAGGAGGGGAGUUUGGCUGGGGCGGCACAUCUUCUACAAGACAACGAAGGUGUCCAAAGAUGAGCUCAGUGAGAACAGAAAUCUCACGUAGCGCAAAAGGGUAAAAGCUUGUUUGAUUUUGAUUUUCAGUGUGAGUUGAAAACGCGAAAGCGUGGCCUAUCGAUCCUUUCACGAUUCGAGGUUUGAAGCGAGAGGUGUCAGAAAAGUUACCACAGGGAUAACUGGCUUGUGGCGGCCAAGCGUUCAUAGCGACGUCGC